CCCUAUUAUAUUUAAUGUAUUUAAAGUUUUGAGUAGUAUACGAUUAGGUCAGGAAACUUAAAGAAUUUGGCGGUGUGUAUUCUUAUUAGAGGAAUAUGAUUUUUAAUUGAUAACCCACAAUUAUCUUACUUAAAUUUAUUUAUUUUGUAUAUCUCCGUCUUAAAAAGAUUUUUAAAAAUAUUUUUUAGUUUUUAUAAGAUAAAAUAAGUCAGGUCAAGGUGCAGAUUAUAUUUAAGUUAAAUUGUAUUACAAUAAAAUUAUUUUUGGAGUUUCAAUGAAAAUUUUUAGGAAAUUGGAUUUAUAAGUAAAUUUUUUUUAUAAUAAAUUUUUGAAUAGUGUUAAUACACAUGCACACAUCGCCC
rnacentral:rRNA from 1 species